AUUGAACGCUGGCGGCAGGCCUAACACAUGCAAGUCGAGCGGCAGAAGGGAGCUCGCUCCUGGAUUCAGCGGCGGACGGGUGAGUAAUGCCUAGGAAUCUGCCUGGUAGUGGGGGAUAACGUCCGGAAACGGGCGCUAAUACCGCAUACGUCCUGAGGGAGAAAGUGGGGGAUCUUCGGACCUCACGCUAUCAGAUGAGCCUAGGUCGGAUUAGCUAGUUGGUGGGGUAAAGGCCUACCAAGGCGACGAUCCGUAACUGGUCUGAGAGGAUGAUCAGUCACACUGGAACUGAGACACGGUCCAGACUCCUACGGGAGGCAGCAGUGGGGAAUUUUGGACAAUGGGCGAAAGCCUGAUCCAGCCAUGCCGCGUGUGUGAAGAAGGUCUUCGGAUUGUAAACCACUUUUAGUUGGGAGGAAGGGCAGUAAGUUAAUACCUUGCUGUUUUGACGUUACCGGAAGAAUAAGCACCGGCUAACUUCGUG
rnacentral:rRNA from 1 species